rnacentral:sRNA from 1 species
GGAAGGACAGUCUCAAAAGAUAGGUCUGGACUUUUAGAUCAUUAACUAAAUAUAUCAUAGCUGUAAUGAUGA